CCUACGGGAGGCAGCAGUGGGGAAUAUUGGGCAAUGGGCGCAAGCCUGACCCAGCAAAGCCGCGUGAAGGAAGAAGGCUUUCGGGUUGUAAACUUCUUUUUAGAGGGAAGAGCAGAAGACGGUACCUCUUGAAUAAGCCACGGCUAACUACGUGCCAGGAGCCGCGGUCAUACGUAGGUGGCAAGCAUUGUCCGGAUUUACUGGGUGUAAAGGGCGUGCAGCCGGGAAGACAAGUCAGAUGGGAAAUCCCGGGGCUCAAACGCGGAACUGCAUUUGAAACUGUUGUUCUUGAGUACCGGAGAGGUAAUCGGAAUGCGUGGUGUAGCGGUGAAAUGCGUAGAUAUAAGGAAGAACACCAGUGGCGAAGGCGGAUGACCGGCCGGCAACUGACGGUGAGGCGCGAAAGCGUGGGGAGCGAACAGGAUUAGAUACCCGUGUAGUC
rnacentral:rRNA from 1 species